UACGAAGGGGGCUAGCGUUAUCCGGAUUUACUGGGCGUAAAGCGUGUGCAGGCGGUGGUUUAAGUCAUGUGUGAAAGCGCUCCGCUUAACGGGGCGAGGCCAUGUGAGACUGGACGACUAGAAUUAGACAGAGGCAAGUAGAAUUCCGGGUGUAGUGGUGAAAUGCGUAGAGAUCCGGAGGAAUACCAGAGGCGCAAGCGGCUUGCUGGGGUCUAUAUUGACGCUCAGACACGAAAGCAUGGGGAGCGAACGGGG
rnacentral:rRNA from 1 species